GGCAGACACAGAGGAGGCACAAAGGUUCCAGGAGGUAAGUUCUUCAGGUUUUCAGGAUGAUUUUUGGUUCUGUGUUUUGUUUCCAGAUCGUUGGAGAGUGACAGGGCGGUUAGUCCACAGCAAGGUUCCAGGGAGAUCUCAUCAAAAGGGUUUCCACAGUCACAGUACCAAGGUGACUGAAUAAUCCAGCGAUAAGUGGAACUUCUCGAGCUCAAGCAUCAGCAGGAUCCAGCACAGCUGAGCUUCAGUCCGA